rnacentral:rRNA from 1 species
GUAAGGAAUAUUGGUCAAUGGGGGCAACCCUGAACCAGCCAUGCCGCGUGAAGGAUGAAGGCGUUAUGCGUUGUAAACUUCUUUUGUAUGGGAAGAAUGACAGGGAUUUAUCCUUGGAGAGACGGUACCAUACGAAUAAGCACCGGCUAACUCCGUGCCAGCAGCCGCGGUAAUACGGAGGGUGCAAGCGUUAUCCGGAAUCACUGGGUUUAAAGGGUACGUAGGCGGUUAAUUAAGUCAGUAGUGAAAGACUGUCGCUCAACGACGGAUGUGCUAUUGAUACUGGUUAACUUGAAUCAGGUUAGAGUUGGCGGAAUGGGUCAUGUAGCGGUGAAAUGCUUAGAUAUGACUUGGAACACCGAUAGCGAAGGCAUUGUACUGGCCGACAACUGACGCUGAUGCACGAAAGUGUGGGGAUCGAACAGGAUUAGAAACCCGUGUAGUCC